rnacentral:rRNA from 1 species
CCCUUAGAUGUCCGGGGCCGCACGCGCGCUACACUGAAGGAAUCAGCGUGGCUUUCUCCCUGACCCGAAAGGGUUGGGAAACCCGUUGAAUCUCCUUCGUGAUAGGGAUUGGGGCUUGAAAUUGUUCCCCAUGAACGAGGAAUUCCCAGUAAGCGCGAGUCAUAAGCUCGCGUUGAUUACGUCCCUGCCCUUUGUACACACCGCCCGUCGCUACUAACGAUUGAACGGUUUAGUGAGGGCCUCGGAUUGGUCUCGGCCCGCUCUUUACCGGGCGGCGCCGUUGGUCGAGAAGACGCUCGAACUUGAUCGUUUAGAGGAAGUAAAAGUCGUAACA